GUCGUAAACAAACAGCUUUGUUUUUUCAUUCAUUUUUGGGGUCAUUUGUCAGAGCAAAACGUGACAACUGGCGACUGGCGGCAUUCCACGCAGUCGCGAAUAGCCUCAAAUGUCGCACCAGACCCUGAGUUCCCUGACUUCUCAGACUUCCCUACCAUCAUAUCACAACCCAAGUGAAACCCACAAGAACACAGUACCCAGUACCCAGUACCAAGUACCCCGAAGUUCUUUAAUUUCGAUUUCAUUUGUGCGCAACUGUGGCAAAUUCGCUUUGCGGAGUGGAGUGACUGCUGGCGUUGCCAAGCAGAUCAAAUUGAAGGACCACCGACUUUCAAGCGGAACCAAAAAUCGGACGACAUGCUGACUGCCGUCGAAGGAAUGCGGCUAUGCAAAUUGCAAUUUGCACAGAGUGCUGAUCUGGAAAUUAGGUAGCAUGCAUGAAUUAUAGGGAGCACUUAAGGUUUCUAAAAAACCUUACCGAAAUAUGUAAAAAAUAUAGCCCAUCAAGAAAGCAAAGAAAUGGAACUUUAUUCUAUCCAUAUCAGAGGGUCAAAGAAUUGCAUUACUAAUAAAUGAGAUGGGUAAAUGUUA
rnacentral:sRNA from 1 species